GAUGAACGCUGGCGGCGUGCUUAACACAUGCAAGUCGAACGGAAAGGCUCAAGCUUGUUUGGGUACUCGAGUGGCGAACGGGUGAGUAACACGUGGAUGAUCUGCCCUGCACUUCGGGACUAGCCUGGGAAACUGGUUCUAAUACCGGAUAGCACCACUGCUUGGAUGUUGUUGUUGAAAGUUUUUUAGGUGUGUGCUGAGCUCGCGGCCUAUCCGCGUUUUGGGGGGGUUAUGGCAUACCAACGCGUCGACGUGUCGCCGGACAGAGAGAGUGUACGACGACAUUGGGACUGAGGGGCGGCACAGACGCCGAAGGGUGGCAGCAGUGGGGAAUACUGAUCCAGGGGCGCAGGCCGAAUGAAGAGAGGCCGCGUGGGGGAUAACGGUCUUCGGGUUGAAAAAAACUUUCGCUAGGGAAGAAGCGGUUUGUGACGGUACCUGGAGAAGAAGCACCGGCUAACUACGUG
rnacentral:rRNA from 1 species